rnacentral:rRNA from 1 species
AUGGCGACGCCCAACCAAGAAGACGAGCUCACCAUGAGCACCGACGAGUUCCUGGAAGCUCAGGCGGAGCUGUACCACCACUGCAUCGCCUUCGUCAAGUCGCUGACGCUCAAGGCCGCCACAGACCUUGGCGUCGCCGACGCCAUCCACCGCCGCGGCGGCGCCGCCACCUUGUCCGACCUCGCAUCCGAGACCGGCAUCCACCCCACGAAGCUCUCCAACCUGCGGCGCAUCAUGCGCGUGCUCACCGCCUCAGGUAUCUUCUCCGUCCAGCACAGCGACGUCGUCAGUGAUGAUGACGCCGUGUAUAAGCUCACCCGUGUCUCCCGGCUCCUCGUCAAGAGCUCGAGCUACCAGCUGUCUCCGGUGGUGCCCGUGCUCGUUGACCCGUUCGCCUGGUCCGCGCUCCUGAGAAUGCCGGAGUGGCUCGCCACCGACGAGCGCGCGUCGCUGUUCGACCUCGCGCAUGGUUGCCCGUUGUGGGACACGACCGUGGAGGACGGCGGCCUGUUCAAAGACGGCAUGGCUGCAGACAGCCGAGUCGCCAUGCAUGUCCUGCUGGCGCGGUGCGGCGGGGUGUUCGAGGCGGUGCGCAGCUCGCUGGUCGAUGUCGGUGGCUCCCAUGGCACCACCGCAGCCGCGGUCGCGAAAGCGUUCCCGCACAUCAAGUGCACCGUGCUGGACCUCCCUGACGUCGUCGCCGGCGCUCCUGCCAACGACGCAGCAGUGACCUUCGUCGCCGGCGAUAUGUUCGAGUAUAUCCCACCAGCGGAUGCUAUUCUACUCAAGUGGAUUCUGCAUGAUUGGAAAGACGAAGAUUGCAUCAAGAUAUUGCGUCGGUGCAAGGAAGCAAUCCCAUCGAGAGAUGCCGGAGGAAAAGUGAUAAUUAUUGAAACAGUGGUCGGUUCUGGAUCUCCGGCGGCACAACAAAUCUUCUCCAAAGAGGCACAGGUUUUGAUGGAUGUCUUUAUGAUGUACAUUGAUGGGAUCGAGAGAGAGGAGCAUGAGUGGAGCAAAAUCUUCUUUGAAGCUGGGUUCAGUGACUAUAAGAUUACACCAAUAAACGGAGUUCUAUCGGUUAUCGAAGUGUACCCUUAG